UGCAAGUCGAACGGUGAAGCCCAGCUUGCUGGGUGGAUCAGUGGCGAACGGGUGAGUAACACGUGAGCAACCUGCCCCUGACUCUGGGAUAAGCGCUGGAAACGGCGUCUAAUACUGGAUACGAGACGUGAUCGCAUGGUCGACGUCUGGAAAGAUUUUUUGGUUGGGGAUGGGCUCGCGGCCUAUCAGCUUGUUGGUGAGGUAAUGGCUCACCAAGGCGUCGACGGGUAGCCGGCCUGAGAGGGUGACCGGCCACACUGGGACUGAGACACGGCCCAGACUCCUACGGGAGGCAGCAGUGGGGAAUAUUGCACAAUGGGCGCAAGCCUGAUGCAGCAACGCCGCGUGAGGGAUGACGGCCUUCGGGUUGUAAACCUCUUUUAGCAAGGAAGAAGCGAAAGUGACGGUACUUGCAGAAAAAGCGCCGGCUAACUACGUGCCAGCAGCCGCGGUAAUACGUAGGGCGCAAGCGUUAUCCGGAAUUAUUGGGCGUAAAGAGCUCGUAGGCGGUUUGUCGCGUCUGCUGUGAAAUCCCGAGGCUCAACCUCGGGUCUGCAGUGGGUACGGGCAGACUAGAGUGCGGUAGGGGAGAUUGGAAUUCCUGGUGUAGCGGUGGAAUGCGCAGAUAUCAGGAGGAACACCGAUGGCGAAGGCAGAUCUCUGGGCCGUAACUGACGCUGAGGAGCGAAAGGGUGGGGAGCAAACAGGCUUAGAUACCCUGGUAGUCCACCCCGUAAACGUUGGGAACUAGUUGUGGGGUCCUUUCCACGGAUUCCGUGACGCAGCUAACGCAUUAAGUUCCCCGCCUGGGGAGUACGGCCGCAAGGCUAAAACUCAAAGGAAUUGACGGGGACCCGCACAAGCGGCGGAGCAUGCGGAUUAAUUCGAUGCAACGCGAAGAACCUUACCAAGGCUUGACAUACACGAGAACACCCUAGAAAUAGGGGACUC
rnacentral:rRNA from 1 species